GUUUUUCAUGCGCAACAGAGUGGGGCAGCCAUUUUCUCUCUCUAUCCAAUUGAAGAAACUACAGUCCUGGUGACAUAUUAUCGAUUAUUUAUUCAAUAAAACAACUUGAGAAUUGAUUAUAAAAACAUUUGACAUGUUUCUCAUGAACUUUACGGAUACUAUUUGGAAUUUUUGUCUGCCCCGUUGUGACCGCUCGAGCCUGUGGAUUUCUGAACAUACGGCGCCAACCAAAUGGAGGUAUUUUGGAUAUAAAAAUUAUCUUUAUGGAACAAAAGGAACAUUUAUUGUGUAACUGGGAGUCUCGUGAGUGCAAAGAUCCGAAGAUCAUUGAAGGAAUGCCUGUCAUGAAGAUCUGGAUUCAGAGCAGGAAGACAAGAAGAUGGUUUUAGUGUCAUCACUUAAGAGCUAUGAAGCUUGGGCUCUCAGGCAGAGGAUUACCAACUGGUGCUGGAGAGUGAUGGACUAGAGGUGGAUAAGGAUGAGAUUUUCCUAGAACUCCACACUAGCACUUUUAUAGUCUUGAUGGGGGGAGAGUGCUGGGAGCCCAUGUCAUGGAAUUCAGCAGAAAGUGGAACAAAUUCAUUGCCAUAAGACAGGGACAAUUAACAAAAUACUACAAGCACUGAUGCUGAAGCAGAUACUGCAAGACAGCUGUAAAGUUGUAGAGAGACGAGCAAGUGUAUUCAUAUAUGCAAGCAUCCUGAAGUGAAGCACAUACAUCAUACCACACUGACUAUUGUCUUGAUUAGUACCUCUAUUUUUAAUCUCAUUUAUUUAAUCCUCCAUUGUGUGUCCAUUUGGUUUACUUUCCACUUGUAAAUGUAUUGUUCACCCAUUUCACCCAUAUCGUUCAGAUUAAACACCACGCCCACCCUUCUCCACACUUCUUUGCUAGAAGUUGGCAGAGGGUAAUGCCAUGUCUGUCUGGAGUAAACUGGUAGAGAAGACAGCCCACUACUAAGACAGCAGGGAGUACAGAGCCGUAGGCAGAAAGAUGUUUGCAAGAUAUCUGUGUAUAAAGCACGAGAGAACAGAGCCAUGGGUUAGAGCACUUAUUUCAAUGGACAACUUCCAAAGGUUGUAUGUUGCAUUGUAGAAUUAUAGCUCCACUCAGUGAUUUCUGCAUACCGAGUCACCAACAAAACCU
ensembl:lncRNA